rnacentral:rRNA from 1 species
GAUGAACGCUAGCGGCAGGCCUAAUACAUGCAAGUCGGACGGGAUUCAGGAGCUUGCUUCUGAUGAGAGUGGCGCACGGGUGCGUAACACGUAUGUAACCUACCUUUAUCAGGGGGAUAGCCUCUCGAAAGAGAGACUAAGCCCGCAUAAAAUCACAGCACAGCAUUGUGUAAUGAUCAAAUAUUUAUAGGAUAAAGAUGGGCAUGCGGAACAUUAGCUAGAUGGCGGGGUAACGGCCCACCAUGGCGACGAUGUUUAGGGGAUCUGAGAGGAUGGCCCCCCACACUGGUACUGAGACACGGACCAGACUCCUACGGGAGGCAGCAGUAAGGAAUAUUGGGCAAUGGGCGGAAGCCUGAACCAGCCAUGCCGCGUGCAGGAAGACGGCCCUACGGGUUGUAAACUGCUUUUAUACGGGAAUAAACCCAGAUACGUGUAUCUGGCUGAAUGUACUGUAAGAAUAAGGAUCGGCUAACUCCGUG